AAAAUAAAAAAACAAAAUAAAAAAAAGAAACCAAUUCCAGCUGCCCAAUCUUUAACCUGAGAACUGCAUGGGAGAUGGGGCAGCCAUAUCCAUAUUAAGGACUUCUGCUCAGCACAAGUUGCAGUAGAUUGUGAAUAUUUGUGUAAGGCUUGCUCACAUCAAAGAUUUCAGCAUUUUAAGGAAAAAGGAAAGGAUUGCAGCACAAAUCAUAUUCCAAGCACCCUGCUUUAGAUACUCUCA
rnacentral:misc_RNA from 1 species